rnacentral:rRNA from 1 species
AUUGAACGCUGGCGGCAGGCCUAACACAUGCAAGUCGAACGAGUGGCGGACGGGUGAGUAAUGGCUGGUAAACUGGCCGAUGGAGGGGGAUAAAUACUGGAAACGGUUUCUAAUACAGCAUACCACAGAAUGUACCCAGGUGGGAUUAGCUAGUAGGUGGGGUAAAGGCGCACCUCGGCUACGAUCCCUAACUGGUCUUAGAGGAUGACCAGCCACACUGGAAUUGAGACACGGUCCAGACUCCUACGGGAGGCAGCAGUGGGGAAUAUUGCACAAUGGGCGCAAGCUUGAUGCAGCCAUGCCGCGUGUAUGAAGAAGGCCUUCGGGUUGUAAAGUACUUUCAGCGAGGAGGCGUUACUCGCAGAAGAAGCACCGGCUAACUCCGUGCCAGCCGCCGCGGUAAUUC